rnacentral:lncRNA from 1 species
UUUAGCAAACUAAAUACAAUAGCUGCUCUCUUUUCUCUUUCAAAAUAACCAAAUAUAUAAUACAUAACAUGUACAGCUCUUCUCUUGGAGUUGCUCUAAUUAGUCUAUAAUUGAACAAUAAUUACUAAAUACAAAUAAAAAUGCUACAUUAGCCAAACUAAAAAAUUUCGUAAACUAAACAAGGCCCGAGAGCCAGACCAAAAGAAACCCACCCACGCCAGCUCUCCUUCUGUCCUAGCUCCUGCUGCUGUCCUCAACUCCUCUGCAGGCUCAACAGAAAAACACCCUAGGGCCUGCACCUCUUGGCUCUCAUGUAGAAGAAGCUACUUCUGUGGAAAAAAAAAAAGCCCAAAUCGCAUCGAAUAAGACUCGAAUUUAAGUGGCAUGACAUAAACCAACAUCCACAACCGCUCUAAACACAGUCGCUCUUACACACACACAAAAGGCGUUAGACAAAAAAAGCUUAGUUGCAUUGCCUUGGAUUAAUUAGGCCUUGUUUGAUUGCUCCUGUUUUUUUAAAACUCUCGUCACAUUAAAUGUUUGGACUCACGCACGAUAUACUAAUUAAUUCAUGAUUCGACACUAAUUGUCAAAUAAAAUAAAAAUGCUACACUACCUGUUAACUAUAUCCUCUCUAACCAAACACCCCCUAAGAUAGUAGGCUGUAGCCUUCAUUCAUGACAGAAGAACCAGUGCCAGUGUUGACCCUCUAACGCGGCAAGCUGGUGGCACGUUCCUGUCUAAUGCCGGCGCGGUAGUCCUUAUUGUUAUGGGCCAGUCGACAGCAUAAAGAGUGAACGUCUCAGUCAACAUGAGACAAACGAUAUGAACCUAUACACUCAAAAAAAAAUGAACCAUACACUCAUGAAAAUCGAGAACGAAAAUUUGUCAACCAUGAAAAAUACGUACUUUUUUUACAACAAAAUACAUACUUCUUUAAGAGAGCAUAUGUUGUAGAGAAAAUUCAGAAAAUAACGCACCCAAGGAAACUGGCCACAAGUAACCAAAAUUUCCUCCUAUACAAUUCCAACUUUGUUCCAAUCUGAUCGUGAUUGAAAAUCAGUCACCAAGCAUGACCCUCACGGUAAGAACUAACCAUGACCAUGCUUCUGAAAAAGCA